rnacentral:rRNA from 1 species
GAUGAACGCUGGCGGCGUGCCUAAUACAUGCAAGUCGAGCGAACGGACGAGAAGCUUGCUUCUCUGAUGUUAGCGGCGGACGGGUGAGUAACACGUGGAUAACCUACCUAUAAGACUGGGAUAACUUCGGGAAACCGGAGCUAAUACCGGAUAAUAUUCUGAACCGCAUGGUUCAAAAGUGAAAGACGGUCGUGCUGUCACUUAUAGAUGGAUCCGCGCUGCAUUAGGUAGUUGGUAAGGUAACGGCUUACCAAGGCAACGAUGCAUAGCCGACCUGAGAGAGUGGUCGGCCACACUAGAGCUGAACCGCGGACCAUGCUCCUGAGGGAGGCCGCAGUAGGGAAUCUUCCGCAGUAGGCGGAAGCCUUACAGAGCGACGCGGCGUGUGUGGUGAAGGUCUUCGGAUCGUAAUACUCUGUUAUUAGGGAUGAACAUAUGUGUAAGUAGCUGUACACAUCUUGACGGUACCUAAUCAGAAAGCCCCGGCUAACUACGUG